AGGUUGUGAUGUGGACACUUGCGCAAUAAAUCCUUGUAUGUCUCAUAUGCCUCAAAUAAUGAUUCACCCUCAAUUUGGGUGAAGGUUGUAAUAUCGUUCCUUAAUUC